rnacentral:rRNA from 1 species
CCUACGGGUGGCAGCAGUGAGGAAUCUUGGUCAAUGGGCGGGAGCCUGAACCAGCCAAGCCGCGUGAGGGAAGAAGGUACAGCGUAUCGUAAACCUCCUUUGUCAGGGAACAAAGGCGGGGACUAGUCCCCUGAUGAGGGUACCUGAAGAAAAAGCAUCGGCUAACUCCGUGCCAGCAGCCGCGGUAAUACGGAGGAUGCGAGCGUUAUCCGGAUUUAUGGGGUUUAAAGGGUGCGCAGGCGGGCUGUUAAGGCGGGGGUAAAAGGCCGGGGCUAAACACCGGAGAGCCGGUGAAACUGGCGGGCUGGAGAUGGAGAGAAGUACGCGGAAUGCGCGGUGUAGGGGUGAAAUGCUUAGAUAUCGCGAAGAACCCCGAUUGCGAAGGCAGCGUACCGGCUCCACACUGACGCUGAGGCACGAAAGCGUAGGUAUCGAACAGGAUUAGAUACCCUUGUAGUC